UACGAAGGGGGGCUAGCGUUGUUCGGAUUUAUCGUGGGCGUAAAGCGCACGUAGGCGGAUCGUUAAGUCAGGGGUGAAAUCCUGGAGCUCAACUCCAGAACUGCCUUUGAUACUGAAGAUCUUGAGUUCGGGAGAGGUGAGUGGAACUGCGAGUGUAGAGGUGAAAUUCGUAGAUAUUCGCAAGAACACCAGUGGCGAAGGCGGCUCACUGGCCCGAUACUGACGCUGAGGCACGGAAAGCGUGGGGAGCAAACAGG
rnacentral:rRNA from 1 species